UAGGCUUUGGGAUAACCCUCGGAAACGGGGGCUAAUACCGGAUAUGACCUUGCCCUGCAUGGGGUUUGGUGGAAAGUUUUUCGGCCUGGGAUGGGCUCGCGGCCUAUCAGCUUGUUGGUGGGGUGAUGGCCUACCAAGGCGACGACGGGUAGCCGGCCUGAGAGGGCGACCGGCCACACUGGGACUGAGACACGGCCCAGACUCCUACGGGAGGCAGCAGUGGGGAAUAUUGCACAAUGGGCGGAAGCCUGAUGCAGCGACGCCGCGUGAGGGAUGACGGCCUUCGGGUUGUAAACCUCUUUCAGCAGGGACGAAGCGCAAGUGACGGUACCUGCAGAAGAAGCACCGGCCAACUACGUGCCAGCAGCCGCGGUAAGACGUAGGGUGCGAGCGUUGUCCGGAUUUAUUGGGCGUAAAGAGCUCGUAGGCGGCUUGUCGCGUCGACCGUGAAAACUUGGGGCUCAACCCCAAGCCUGCGGUCGAUACGGGCAGGCUAGAGUUCGGUAGGGGAGACUGGAAUUCCUGGUGUAGCGGUGAAAUGCGCAGAUAUCAGGAGGAACACCGGUGGCGAAGGCGGGUCUCUGGGCCGAUACUGACGCUGAGGAGCGAAAGCGUGGGGAGCGAACAGGAUUAGAUACCCUGGUAGUCCA
rnacentral:rRNA from 1 species